rnacentral:rRNA from 1 species
AUUGAACGCUGGCGGCAUGCCUUACACAUGCAAGUCGAACGUGAAAGGGGGGCAACCCCCGAGUAGAGUGGCGGACGGGUGAGUAACACAUCGGAACGUACCCAGUAGUGGGGGACAACCUCGAGAAAUCGAGGCUAAUACCGCAUACGACCCACGGGUGAAAGCGGGGGACCGCAAGGCCUCGCGCUAUUGGAGCGGCCGAUGUCCGAUUAGCUUGUUGGCGGGGUAAGAGCCCACCAAGGCGACGAUCGGUAGCUGGUCUGAGAGGAUGAUCAGCCACACUGGGACUGAGACACGGCCCAGACUCCUACGGGAGGCAGCAGUGGGGAAUUUUGGACAAUGGGGGCAACCCUGAUCCAGCCAUGCCGCGUGCGGGAAGAA